GUGGAGAAGUAGUACUUUCCUCGCCAUUUAACACCGUGCAAGUGCCAGAGUGAGGGGUGCAUGGGUAGUAACUUAAACGCGUUUGUGAUGUCUGUUUUGCUGAGCAUGGGGUGAUUACCAGAAGAGAUGAUGGCCUGUAUAGCGUUGUCAAUAGUUACGUACUGGAGUGAGAAUUCAUCUGCUGGAAUGAGUGCGUUUAUGCUGGGAACAAAAGAGGAGUGCG